rnacentral:rRNA from 1 species
GACGAACGCUGGCGGCGUGCUUAACACAUGCAAGUCGAACGGAAAGGCCCUGCUUGCAGGGUACUCGAGUGGCGAACGGGUGAGUAACACGUGGGUGAUCUGCCCUGCACUUCGGGAUAAGCCUGGGAAACUGGGUCUAAUACCGGAUAUGACCUUCCAUGUAGUGUGGGGGGUGGAAAGAUUUCUCGGUGUGGGAUGAGCCCGCGGCCUAUCAGCUUGUUGGUGGGGUAAUGGCCUACCAAGGCGUCGACGGGUAGCCGGCCUGAGAGGGUGGACGGCCACAUUGGGACUGAGAUACGGCCCAGACUCCUACGGGAGGCAGCAGUGGGGAAUAUUGCACAAUGGGCGGAAGCCUGAUGCAGCGACGCCGCGUGGGGGAUGACGGCCUUCGGGUUGUAAACCUCUUUCGACAGGGACGAAGCUUCGGUGACGGUACCUGUAUAAGAAGCACCGGCUAACUACGUG